rfam:Angiostrongylus cantonensis strain Taiwan genome assembly, scaffold: ACAC_contig0004973
GUGGCUAUAGCUGAGUGGUAAAGCUCUCCCUUAGCAUGGGAGAGGGUUAGGGUUCAAUUCCCCAUACCUGCA